CCCACGCCGAAAGACCAAGGGUUCCUGCGCAACGUUAAUCGACGCAGGGUUAGUCGGUUCCUAAGGCGAGGCUGAAAAGCGUAGUCGAUGGGAAACAGGUUAAUAUUCCUGUACUUCUGGUUACUGCGAUGGAGGGACGGAGAAGGCUAGGCCAGCUUGGCGUUGGUUGUCCAAGUUUAAGGUGGUAGGCUGAAAUCUUAGGUAAAUCCGGGGUUUCAAGGCCGAGAGCUGAUGACGAGUCGUCUUUUAGAUGACGAAGUGGUUGAUGCCAUGCUUCCAAGAAAAGCUUCUAAGCUUCAGGUAACCAGGAACCGUACCCCAAACCGACACAGGUGGUCGGGUAGAGAAUACCAAGGCGCUUGAGAGAACUCGGGUGAAGGAACUAGGCAAAAUGGCACCGUAACUUCGGGAGAAGGUGCGCCGGCUAGGGUGAAGGAUUUACUCCGUAAGCUCUGGCUGGUCGAAGAUACCAGGCCGCUGCGACUGUUUAUUAAAAACACAGCACUCUGCAAACACGAAAGUGGACGUAUAGGGUGUGACGCCUGCCCGGUGCCGGAAGGUUAAUUGAUGGGGUUAGCGCAAGCGAAGCUCUUGAUCGAAGCCCCGGUAAACGGCGGCCGUAACUAUAACGGUCCUAAGGUAGCGAAAUUCCUUGUCGGGUAAGUUCCGACCUGCACGAAUGGCGUAACGAUGGCGGCGCUGUCUCCACCCGAGACUCAGUGAAAUUGAAAUCGCUGUGAAGAUGCAGUGUAUCCGCGGCUAGACGGAAAGACCCCGUGAACCUUUACUGUAGCUUUGCACUGGACUUUGAGCCUGCUUGUGUAGGAUAGGUGGGAGGCUUUGAAGCGUGGACGCCAGUUCGCGUGGAGCCAUCCUUGAAAUACCACCCUGGCAUGCUUGAGGUUCUAACUCUGGUCCGUAAUCCGGAUCGAGGACAGUGUAUGGUGGGCAGUUUGACUGGGGCGGUCUCCUCCUAAAGAGUAACGGAGGAGUACGAAGGUGCGCUCAGACCGGUCGGAAAUCGGUCGUAGAGUAUAAAGGCAAAAGCGCGCUUGACUGCGAGACAGACACGUCGAGCAGGUACGAAAGUAGGUCUUAGUGAUCCGGUGGUUCUGUAUGGAAGGGCCAUCGCUCAACGGAUAAAAGGUACUCCGGGGAUAACAGGCUGAUACCGCCCAAGAGUUCAUAUCGACGGCGGUGUUUGGCACCUCGAUGUCGGCUCAUCACAUCCUGGGGCUGAAGCCGGUCCCAAGGGUAUGGCUGUUCGCCAUUUAAAGUGGUACGCGAGCUGGGUUUAGAACGUCGUGAGACAGUUCGGUCCCUAUCUGCCGUGGACGUUUGAGAUUUGAGAGGGGCUGCUCCUAGUACGAGAGGACCGGAGUGGACGAACCUCUGGUGUUCCGGUUGUCACGCCAGUGGCAUUGCCGGGUAGCUAUGUUCGGAAAAGAUAACCGCUGAAAGCAUCUAAGCGGGAAACUUGCCUCAAGAUGAGAUCUCACUGGGAACUUGAUUCCCCUGAAGGGCCGUCGAAGACUACGACGUUGAUAGGCUGGGUGUGUAAGCGUUGUGAGGCGUUGAGCUAACCAGUACUAAUUGCCCGUGAGGCUUGACCAU
rnacentral:rRNA from 3 species